UACGGAGGGGGCUAGCGUUGUUCGGAAUUACUGGGCGUAAAGCGCGCGUAGGCGGCUUUGUAAGUUAGAGGUGAAAGCCCGGAGCUCAACUCCGGAAUUGCCUUUAAGACUGCAUCGCUAGAAUUGUGGAGAGGUGAGUGGAAUUCCGAGUGUAGAGGUGAAAUUCGUAGAUAUUCGGAAGAACACCGGUGGCGAAGGCGACUCACUGGACACAUAUUGACGCUGAGAUGCGAAAGCGUGGGGAGCAAACAGG
rnacentral:rRNA from 1 species